UAUCAUUACAAACAGCCAAACGCGAACAGUGACGAAAACUACCCUUCCCACGUACACGUAUUUUUAUUUUUCUUAUUCUAAUUCUUCUUAUAAUUUGUUGAUUUAUAGAUCCUUCAUGCUGUUAAUAAUGUCCACUUUCGAGGAUAUCGUACAUUUCUUUAAGCCAAUAUUCUGUGAAAUUAUUUAUGCUGUUGGUCAGAUCUCCAGCUUGUACGCUGGCUAUAGAAUUAUCUCGUAUUUUCGUAGCCCUGAUAAUCCCGAUCCCGAAUCUCUGGUCAACAUAUUCGGACGGGUACAACUAGAGGCGAUUUGUAGGGAUUUAAGCGGUUUGCCUCCACAUGUAAUCGCCGAUUGUGUCGAAAAAAUGCGCCAAGUAAUUGCAAAUGCACGACGUGAGUUUGAAGCUAAACGAGAUUUGAAACGCAAUGUGGAACCAGCUGUCGAGUAGAAUUUUUUUAUUUUGGUGCUCGUGUUUAAACGAAAUUGAAGUCCAUAAAGUACUGCGAAAGGUAUUCUCCUGCGAGAUAAUCUCUGCUGGGCCUGGAUUUGUUCAUACCAAUUGUUCGAUUAUGAGCAAAGCAUGCUGUGUUAAACAAGAUGAAAUAACUAAUUGGUUAGGCUGUUGAUAUGUUCCUUCAUUUAACUUGAUGAAUAGUUAUUUUAUACAUUAUACGAUUUUUUAUAUAAUUUUUUUUGAAGAAAUGAAAAUAUUAUUAGCGAUUUUGGAGUGAGUGAGUUGUCUUCAAUUUCUUUUUAUAACGAAUUGUUGCACAUUGGUAGUACAUGACGAAUUUUUAGAAAAGAAGACUACGCAUUAUAUUUAUUUUUAGCAUUCAUUUUUUAUAAAAUAAAAUAUAUUUUGUUUGUA